AGUAUAAGCAUUAUACAGCGAAACUGCGAAUGGCUCAUUAUAUAAGUUAUCGUUUAUUUGAUAGUGCCUUACUACUUGGAUAACCGUGGUAAUUCUAGAGCUAAUACAUGCUGAAAGCCCCGACUCACGGAGGGGCGUAUUUAUUAGAUUAAAAACCAAUGCCCUUCGGGGCUCCUUGGUGAUUCAUGAUAACUUCUCGAAUCGCACGGCCUUGCGCCGGCGAUGGUUCAUUCAAAUUUCUUCCCUAUCAACUUUCGAUGUUUGGGUAGUGGCCAAACAUGGUGGCAACGGGUAACGGAGGGUUAGGGCUCGACCCCGGAGAAGGAGCCUGAGAAACGGCUCCUACAUCCAAGGAAGGCAGCAGGCGCGCAAAUUACCCAAUCCCGACUCGGGGAGGUAGUGACAAUAAAUACUGAUGCAGGGCUCUUUAGGGUCUUGCAAUUGGAAUGAGUACAAUUUAAAUCCCUUAACGAGGAACAAUUGGAGGGCAAGUCUGGUGCCAGCAGCCGCGGUAACUCCAGCUCCAAUAGCGUAUAUUAAAGUUGUUGUGGUUAAAAAGCUCGUAGUUGAACCUUGGGCCUGGCCGUCCGGUCCGCCUCACCGCGUGCACUGGCACGGCCGGGCCUUCCCACCGCGGAAUCGCAUGCCCUUUACUGGGCGUGUCGGGGAAGCGGUACUUUUACUGUGAAAAAAUUAGAGUGCUCUAAGCAGGCCUAUGCUCGAAUACAUUAGCAUGGAAUAAUAGAAUAGGACAGGCGUUCUAUUUUGUUGGUUUCUAGGACGUCUGUAAUGAUUAACAGAAACAAUCGGGGGCGUCAGUAUUGCAUCGUCAGAGGUGAAAUUCUUAGAUCGACGCAAGACUAACUACUGCGAAAGCAUUCGCCAAGGGUGUUUUCAUUAAUCAGGAACGAAAGUUAGGGGAUCGAAGACGAUCAGAUACCGUCGUAGUCUUAACCAUAAACUAUGCCGACUAGGGAUCGGGCGGUGUUAAUUUUUGACCCGCUCGGCACCUUACGAGAAAUCUUAAGUGCUUGGGCUC
rnacentral:rRNA from 1 species